GGAAGUGUGCCCGAACAGCCACAAGGACUACUUUGAUAGAGUAGAACACAGAGGUUAAACCCCUCUCAUUUCCU